GGCUCUCAGAAGGCGCCAGAACGGGGAAUGAUGACUCUGCAGUCCCUGGGCGAAAAACAGUAGGGGAUUUGGAUAGUGGUCGAUCUGAGAACAAUGACACUAUUUUACAAGAAAAAUCGCAUAAAAAUAGAUUUUAAACAGCGUUUGACAUGCUUCGAAGUACGGUAAUGGAAUAUUUUGAAAGUUUUUGUCACGAUACGCGCCGGCGCGUUAUCCUUCGGAUAGUGUCUUGAACGCAAGAACAAAACGCUGCUAUUUGGAUAUAACAAUGGAUUAUUUGGAACCAAAACAACAUUGGGUGUUGAAGUAGAAGUCCUGGGAGUGCAUUCUGACGAAGAACAGCAAAGGUAAUCCAAUUUUUCUUAUAGUAAAUCUGAGUUUGGUGAGUGCCAAACUUGGUGGGUGUCAAAAUAGCUAGCCGUGAUGGCGAGCUAUCUACUCAGAAUAUUGAAAAAUGUGCUUUCACCGAAAAGCUAUUUUAAAAUCGGACACCGCGAUUGCAUAAAGGAGUUCUGUAUCUAUAAUUCUUAAAAUAAUUGUUAUGUUUUUUGUGAACGUUUAUCGUGAGUAAUUUAGUAAAUUCACCGGAAGUCUUCGCUGGGUAUGCUAGUUCUGAACGUCACAUGCUAAUGUAAAAAGCUGGUUUUUGAUAUAAAUAUGAACUUGAUUGAACAAAACAUGCAUGUAUUGUAUAACAUAAUGUCCUAGGAGUGUCAUCUGAUGAAGAUCAUCAAAGGACCUGAGCCCUAGGACCAUGCCUCAGGACUACCUGGUAUGAUGACUCCUUGCUGUCCCCAGUCCACCUGGCCGCGCUGCUGCUCCAGUUUCAACUGUUCUGCCUGCGGCUAUGGAACCCUGACCUGUUCACCGGACGUGCUUGUUGCACCCUCGACAACUACUAUGAUUAUUAUUAUUUGACCAUGCUGGUCAUUUAUGAACAUUUUAACAUCUUGACCAUGUUCUGUUAUAAUAUCCACCCUGCACAGCCAGAAGAGGACUGGCCACCCCUCAUAGCCUGGUUCCUCUCUAGGUUUCUUCCUAGGUUUUUGGCCUUUCUAGGGAGUUUUUCCUAGGGAGUUUUUCCUAGCCACCGUGCUUCUUUCACAUGCAUUGCUUGCUGUUUGGGGUUUUAGGCUGGGUUUCUGUACAGCACUUUGAGAUAUCAGCUGAUGUACGAAGGGCUAUAUAAAUAAAUUAGAUUUGAUUUGAUACACUUUCAUAGUAUUACCACGACAACCGGCAAAACAGUUCGUCUUUCAAUCACCCACGUGGGUAUAACCAAUGAGGAGAUGGCACGUGGGUACCUGCUUCAAUAAACCAAUGAGGAGAUGGGAGAGGCAGGACUUGCAGCGCGAUCUGCACCAGAAAUAGGAAUUACUUCUAUUUUAGCCCUUGGCAACGCAGACGUUUGUUGGUGCACGCGAGCAGUGUGGGUGCAAUAAUUGAAUAACAUAGAUUCCUAAAUCAGUCAGGGUAUUAGGUAUCACACUACCCAUGAAGGAAUAUACAAGUUUAACUUACAAUCGACUAUGGCACGAUAGCCAAUAAUACAUGUAGUACUGACAAUCCAGAGCAAGUAAACCUAUAAAACCUACCCUCUCUCCACCCAUGUAUUCCAGGGUCGUUGCUCUAUCACCUCGGCUGUUUUACACCUAGGCCUAUAUCAUUAGGAUCAAGAAUAUAAAAGGUAGCAUAAAUAGCUUGUAGAAAUAUGUAAUUUACCUCUCGCUUAGAGAAGUGCUUCCAUAAACCAGUUAUUGUGUUUGUUCUACCGUUAACUAUAACCCAUUUGCCUGUUUGAAUUGGAACAAUAAUAAUCCUUUAAAUUUUUUAUAUUGAGAUGUAUUUUUUAAAUGUAAAGUGUAAUGACACCAAUUAUUUUAGGAUUGUAUAGGCCUACUCCAAUAGAGACCCUAUGCCGGUUUUUAAUGUAUAAUCCUUUAUCCUAGCCCUACAAUACAUCUAUUCAUAUUUAUUACGUUUUAUCUUAAAAGGUAAUCGUUCCGAUUCACAUCCGCGAACAAGGGCCGCACUAUAUAACAGCUUUUUAGUCAUAAUAUACCCAACCUCUACAAUUAGGCCAUAUCAUACAAAAAAAAAUAAAAAAAUAACCUUGGUAUUUCUAAUGUACAAUCUUCAAAUUAUAUAAAUAAACAAUCAAAAAGAAAAAAGGUCAGCCUUACCCAUCUUCGGCCUUCCCCUAAAUCAAAACCUGAUAUUAUGUCCAUAUAGUCCAAAGUUCCAUAUUGCCUAAAUAAAAAAAGAAUAAAUUCAUCGUACCCAUUCUGCAUCGUACCCAAUUCAUCGUACCCAACUGCAUUACCAUAAGUCCAACCUUAUUUUAAGUCCACAUAGUCCAUGGUUCCAUACUGCAUGAGUAAAAACAAAUGACGAACAUUCUACUUCUCUGCUCAGAGCCUUUUCAAAAUGGGGUACAGGGCACGUCGUCUCUCCACUAUUUCAUGGGGAAAUUGUUCAUUAAUAGAGAACAGGGUGUUCUUCAAUUCCCUACCCUGUUGUAACAAGGCAAUUUUCAUUUUGUAGUGGGUUAGCAUAGCUACGAUCGGACUGGGCCUUCCCUCUGCUCUGCCACCGAAAUUGUGAGCCCUUUGAAAAUCAAUUAUUUUCACCUGUUCGUCCGUCAUUUUGAGAUUACAUUUCAUGAACACCUUGGCUGUGUUCGAAUACUCAUACUAACCAUACUAUUUGUGAAGUAAAUUGAGAAUGUAGUAUGCUUAUUAGUCAUAGUAUGGAUAUAGUUAGUAUGCCAAAAGUUCCCGGAUGUUGUACUAUAUUCGCCAAAAUACGAAGUGUACAAGCAAAAUUGUACAGAAAACACCCCUUUUCUUAAUUGUUUUAUUUGAUUUCGAAAACUAUUUAGAGUCAUUAAAACAUAUACAAAACAAAAUGUCUAAAAAAUGUAUUUGCUACAUGUCUGUAUUUGAAUUGAUAUAAUGUGGAUUUGUAUUAUUUUCUUUUUUUUCUUCUCUUAUUUAUUUGUGGAAUCCCUCUGGCUGUUCUGUUUAUGUUUUGCAUGUUGCUGUUAAUAAAAAAAUAAAAUACAAAAAAAAAUACUACAAAAUGUAUUAAAAAAAUGUAUUAAAAAAACAAGCAAUGGACACUAUUUCCGUACUUUUAGGGCCCAUAAUGCUAUUCUUCAGAAAAUGGGUGUGGCUUCACAACGUUUUCAUAUUUGAAGAAAGUUAUGGAAAAUAUGCAGCCGAAGUCCGAAGAGAGCGGCUACAAAUUAGUUUAUUUAACAAAUUAUGACAAAUGUUAAGAAAAUGUAAUAAAGUAAUGACUUUUCAAAUAAGUUACGUUACACGUUAUGUUGGCUGACUAUGUUAGCUACGCUGUCCUUACGAACCACAUAGCAUAACAUUACAGCAGUAUGUACCGGGUAUGUUAGCUACCUACUGUAACGUUAGUUGGCUACUAGAACAUCGAACUUGACAUUAUAUUUGCUUUAUGCUAUCUAACAACCCACCCAACGUUUAUUGACUUGAUUUUUCACGUCAUUCAUAGCUUAGCUAAGUGGUAUAGUCGAUGUGCGUUCUCAAUGGACAUUCGGGUGCUUUCGUAAAUUCGCUCUGGCUAUCUACUCCGAUUUCAGAGCAGUCUCAUCCAAUUGUUGCAGAGAGCAGAAUAACUGAUGAAUUUAUGAUCUCUCAACACCCGUUGAAUAUAGCCGGUGUCAAUAAACGUUGGCAAAAAUGCAUAAUUAAAUUGUUGCCAGCAGCACAGUCACCAACACUCUGGAUAACAUGAAAAAUGCCUAACCAGCUCUGCUAGGGCAAGUAAAAUGGUCAGUGAGGUGUUCUCUCAUUUGUGUCUGGAAGUAAGGUCAAUUUAAAAUAAAGAAAAACCCUGGAAUGAGUAGGUGUGUGCAAACUUUUGACUGGUACUGUAUGUAAAUUAGUUAUUUCUGCAUUUCAUUUUCAAUGAUUAGCAAAAAUGACUCAAAACAAAUUUUCAUUAUGGGGGAUAAGUCAAGAGGUAUUAAUACUUUCUAAAGGCACUGUAUUAGAAUGAGCUUUGUGAAGAACACAGUAUAUGAAUACACAGUGUGAAAAACAGUGUUUAAUGUCUCUAUAUACACGGAACAAAAAUAUAAAACGCAACAUGUAAAGUGUUGUUCCCAUGUUUCAUGAGCUGAAAUAAAAGAUCUCAGAACUUUUCCAUAUGCACAAAAAGCCUUUUUCUCUCAAAUGUUGUGCACAAAUUUGUUUACAUCCCAUAAGUCCCCCCAACAUAAUUUUAGAGAAUUUGGCCGUACGUCUAACCGGCCUCACAACUGCAGACCACGUG
rnacentral:lncRNA from 1 species